GGAUGAACGCUGGCCGGCGUCCCUAAUACAUGGAAAUUGAACGCUUUGUGGUUCAAUUGAUUUGAAGAGCUUGCUUAGAUAUGACGAUGGACAUUGCAAAGAGUGGCGAACGGGUGAUUAACACGUGGGAAACCUACCUCUUAGCAGGGGAUAACAUUUGGAAACAGAUGCUAAUACCGUAUAACAAUGACAAACGCAUGGUGUUAUUUAAAAGAUGGUUCUGCUAUCACUAAGAGAUGGUCCCGCGGUGCAUUAGCUAGUUGGUAAGGUAAUGGCUUACCAAGGCGAUGAUGCAUAGCCGAGUUGAGAGACUGAUCGGCCACAAUGGGACUGAGACACGGCCCAUACUCCUACGGGAGGCAGCAGUAGGGAAUCUUCCACAAUGGGCGAAAGCCUGAUGGAGCAACGCCGCGUGUGUGAUGAAGGGUUUCGGCUCGUAAAACACUGUUGUAAGAGAAGAAUGACAUUGAGAGUAACUGUUCAAUGUGUGACGGUAUCUUACCAGAAAGGAACGGCUAAAUACGUGCCAGCAGCCGCGGUAAUACGUAUGUUCCAAGCGUUAUCCGGAUUUAUUGGGCGUAAAGCGAGCGCAGACGGUUAUUUAAGUCUGAAGUGAAAGCCCUCAGCUCAACUGAGGAAUUGCUUUGGAAACUGGAUGACUUGAGUGCAGUAGAGGAAAGUGGAACUCCAUGUGUAGCGGUGAAAUGCGUAGAUAUAUGGAAGAACACCAGUGGCGAAGGCGGCUUUCUGGACUGUAACUGACGUUGAGGCUCGAAAGUGUGGGUAGCAAACAGGAUUAGAUACCCUGGUAGUUCACCCCGUAAACGAUGAGUGCUAGGGGUUAGAGGGUUU
rnacentral:rRNA from 1 species